GAUGAACGCUGGCGGCGUGCCUAAUACAUGCAAGUCGAGCGAACAGACGAGGAGCUUGCUCCUCUCACGUUAGUGGCGGACGGGUGAGUAACACGUGGAUAACCUACCUAUAAGACUGGGAUAACUUCGGGAAACCGGAGCUAAUACCGGAUAAUAUAUCGAACCGCAUGGUUCAAUAGUGAAAGACGGCUUUGCUGUCACUUAUAGAUUGAUCCGCGCGGCAUUAGCUAGUUGGUAAGGUAACGGCUUACCAAGGCGACGAUGCGUAGCCGACCUGAGAGGGUGAUAGGCCACACUGGAACUGAGACACGGUCCAGACUCCUACGGGAGGCAGCAGUAGGGAAUCUUCCGCAAUGGGCGAAAGCCUGACGGAGCAACGCCGCGUGAGUGAUGAAGGUCUUCGGAUCGUAAAACUCUGUUAUUAGGGAAGAACAAAUGUGUAAGUAACUAUGCACGUCUUGACGGUACCUAAUCAGAAAGCCACGGCUAACUACGUG
rnacentral:rRNA from 1 species